ensembl:rRNA 5S_rRNA 5S ribosomal RNA
UCUUUUAUCCAUGUCAUCUUGAGCUGCAAUCUAAUCAGAUUUCCUAAAACUAAGCAGGAUCAGCCUUGGUUUGUACUUGGAUAGGAGACAUCAAAGGAAGAAGCCCAAGGUGUUGCAGAAA